rnacentral:lncRNA from 1 species
AAAAGUUGAACUAGACAUUCAUGUUGGAAAAGAGAAAUGUGUAAGUGAGUCUCAUAUAAGCAAGUUAACAUAUCUUCAAGCCAUAGUCAAGGAAACAUUAAGAUUGUAUCCUCCUGGUCCUCUUUUGGCACCUCAUGAAAUUAUAGAGGACUGCAUUUUAAGUGGUUAUAAUAUAAAAAAAGGAACUCGUCUAAUCACAAAUCUUUGGAAGAUUCACACAGACAAGAAUGUUUGGGAAGAUCCAUUGGAGUUCAAACCUGAAAGGUUUCUUACAACUUACAAAGAUCUCGAUGUCAAAGGUCAUCAUUUUGAGCUAAUACCAUUUGGAGGUGGUAGAAGAAUGUGUCCAGGAAUAUCCUUUGGCCUUGAAGUAGUGCAAUUCUCUCUUGCUAGUAUUUUGCACUCUUUUGAAUUUUUAAGUUCAUCACCUGAUCCUAUUGACAUGACCGAAACCUUUGGAUUAACCAACACCAAAGGCACUCCACUUGAGAUUCUUAUUAAACCACGUCUAUCUUUUAGUUGUAACGAAAACAACUAAUCCAUGUGCUAGCUAUGCUGUCACAAUUUGUUUUCAUUUAAAGUACUUUUUUUCUAUAAUAUUGUUCAAAGUCUUUGUUAUCUUUGUAUUUUCAUUCAAAGUGCUUGAUAUAUUUGUACUUUCCUUCAAAGUACUUGAUAUAUUUAUAGUUUAUCUUGGUAAACUUUGAAACUCUUUCAAAUAUAUAUUAUUUUUAGUAGACUUUCUUUAUUGAGUCAGGUUAGAGAGUUGGACCGUAUUUAGAGAUUCAUUGCUUAAUUCUUAAUCGCGGAUUGAAGUGAUUAAUCCUAUUUGAACGUAAUUGUAUUUAUGUUGUCGAUCAGUUCAUUAAUGUGGAUUACGAUCUCGAUCGGUCACUGAUAAGUCUCGAGAGAUUACAUUAGUCGAUACAAUUAAUGAAUUGCUUAAUUGGUUAACCGUGACUGAUGAAGGUGUGCAAUAAUUGGAAACCAGAGGCAAAAUACAGAGUGCACUAAUUAGCUUAGCAAAUAAUAAGAAAGUGAUGCAUAACAGUUUCACAUAGAAAGAGUUUUGCAAAUCCUUCAACGGGUGGGUGCCAUUUUUACAUGCACCACAUCUCUUUUUUCAGGUAAGUCACGUACUACUUUAAUAUUUAUGUACCCUUUGAUUAAAUGCCUCAUUGGUCAAUGAGCUUACGAUUAUAACACAUCAUUUUCUUAUGCUUUCAUAUUAUAUUAAUAUUCAAAUGACCUACACUGCAAAAUGAUGUGUUAGUAUAACGUGUUUUAAUUUUAAUUAUAUCUCUAUACUUUUUUUCUAUUAGUUUUAAAAGUCUUCUCUUGAUUUGUGCGUCUUAUCUUUAGUCGGGGAUUCUUUGCAUUUUUCCAAUUUUCUCAUAUGUACCACGAGGAACAAAGUCUUGUUUUUUGAAUUUUCUUAGCAGUAAUAGAAUGAAAAUUUUGACUUAUAUGUAAAAAUAUUAUUCAGUAUUACUGGAGCAAUUUUGUCCCAUUCACUACUUUAUUGUUGAGUGGUUCAAUAUUUGUGGCUGAAGACAUCAUAUAUAUAAUAUAUGCGAACCUUAUAUUAUUUUAAUUUAUUUCUUUUACAUGAACUUGGACUUUAUUGAUUCUGGUCUAAAUUAUACACCUUAACCUACCCACAUUCACAAUUCACUUAUGAACAUCUUUUUUCUUAAAUAUCAAUUAACCUUGGAAGAUAUAUACAACAAAUAUCAAGCUAUUAAGGUCAAUAUCUUGUGUUCAUAACACAAUAUUUUUUUCUCAACAAAUCCUUAAAAUAUAUCCUUAACUAUUUUUAAUUAAAUAUUUUAAAACAUAUAUUUUUUAAUUGUUUUUUAUCGUUUAAUUUUUUAUUAAUUAAGUGACAUGAUUAUUAUUUUUCUUACCAUCUUGCGGUUAAUAUAAAAUAAAACAAUAUUAUAGUUAAUGUAAAACAAUAAGCUUAACUAACUUUAUUUUUUCAUAAAAGAAUUAUUAGAUAACGAGUUUAUCAUGUUUUUUUAGUUGUAAUUUUCAUGUCAUCAUAUACCAUAAAAAAAAGAUCAUCACCAUUGAUAUAAAUAGCAAUUAUCAAACACUUUUUCAAUGAAAAUAAUAAAAAUCACUUUUCAAUUUACAUUAAUCACAAUUUAGUUUUAUAUUAAACACAAAACAUCACAUUUUUAAUAUGUGGAAACAAGUAGCAGAGUAAUGGAAUAAAAUAAAAGUAAUGUAAACCACACAAAAUUAAACAAAAAAAAAAAUUCAAUUUUUUUUUUAAUACUAUUUAAUAAAAAUAACCUAGACCUUGAACCCUAAAUUCAUAGUAUUUUGAUUUUUAAAAAAAAUAAAUUUUGUCUUAUUUUUAAAAAAAAAUAUACAAUUUGAUCUGUUUUAUUAAAUUAACAUAAAGAGGAGGAAGUGGUGACAUGAUGUGACAAAGUUAUAAACGCACGUAUAAAAAUGUUAUAAAGUAUGAUUUAAAUUAGUAAUUACAAUUCACUGCAUAAUAAUUUAAAUUUUAAUAUUUUGAAACUUAACCUUAUAUAUUUUAAAUAUUUUUUAUGGCAGCAAACUUUGAAAAUAGUUAUUAAUUAUUAUUAUUAGUGGUAGUUAUAUCUUAUAAAAAUUACAACACAAUUUCCAAGUAAAAUCAUACUUAGUCUUUGAAAAGUUUGACUUUUCCUUCUCUCUGAAGGAAUGAAGGAUCUAUUUAACCACUCCUACUUUACCCUACCUGAAACACACAGAGCCUCAACUCGCUCAAAUGGAUUUGGUUGUAAAUUCCUUGAAUGCAACCACCAUUGCACUCGCUUCUCUAAUUCUCUUCUGUUUCUUUCUCUAUGGUCUCUUCAAAUUUUCUCGAGGGAAAGAACCUCCCACAGUUGCAGGUGCAUGGCCAAUACUUGGUCACCUUCCAUUGAUGAGUGGUUCAAAGUCACCCCACAGAACUUUGGGUGCUUUGGCCGACAAAUAUGGACCCAUUUUCACCAUCAAACUUGGUGCGAAAAGGGCUGUGGUAAUCAACAACUGGGAAAUAGCAAAGGAAUGCUUCACCACAAACGACACAGUCGUUUUCGGUCGCCCCAAGCUUGUUUCGGUGGAACUCAUGAGCUACAACCAAGCCAUGUUUGCCUUAGCACCCUAUGGUCCCUAUUGGCGAAAAAUAAGAAAGCUUACAAUUUCAGAGAUUCUCUCCCCUCAGCAAGUGAGGCAGCAACGUCAUCUUUUUGAGUCAGAGGUUCAAGAAUCGAUCAAGGAGCUCUUUGACCUUUGGCGCAGCAACAAGAAUGAGAGCGGCUAUGCCUUGGUGGACUUGAAGCAAUGGUUUUCUCAUCUGAUAUUCAACAUGGUCCUUCAAAUGAUUACAGGGAAGCGAUAUUUCAGUGCAGCAACUGUAGACGAUGAGAAGGCACAGAGAUGUGUGAGGACUGUGGAGGAGUUGAUGCGUCUGAUGGGGGUGUUCACAGUGGGAGACGCUGUUCCUUGGUUGAGACGGUUUGAUUUGGGAGGGAAUGAGAAGGCUAUGAAAGAAAUUGCUAAAGAGUUGGAUAUUAUUCUUGGUGAGGAGUUAGAGGAACACAGAAAAAGGAAGGGUUUGGGUGAAGCUAAAGAUUUCAUUGAUGUGAUGAUUUCCUUGUUUGAUGGAACAAUUACUGAUGGGGUCGAUGCAGAUACCGUUAUCAAAUCCACCAUACUGGUAUGUAUCUUCAAUAUGAACAUUAUAAUCCUUUCAAACUUCAACCGUCUAGUAUUUUAUUUUUCUUUCUAAUUUUGUUUUCUGCAUGGCACAGUAUAGCAUGGUUGAAUAGUGUAUAUUAGGGAUAACGAUCUGAGUCAACCCAUUCUAGAUAGAUAUGUCCUGUUAAAAAGUACAGAUUAAUUCUAUUGGUUUAUCUCUAAGGAAAAGAUUUCUUUAACAUCCAAAAAUAAAAUACAUACAAUUUAACAAAUCAUUAUAAUAAUAUUUUUAAAUUAAAAAAUAAUAUAACAAUGUUCUGAUUUUCAAUAAAAUUUGAAUUUUGAUUAUAAUAAUAAAUUAUUUAAUAAAAUAUUUUAUUAAAUAUAUACAUUUUUUUAAAGGUAAAUACAUUAUUACUAUUAAUUUGAAAAAUAAUAUAUUUAUAUAUAUAAUACAACCUUUAAAUUUUAUUAUAAAAAAGACUAAGGUAUUUUUUUUUUUUGAAAUGUCCCUUUUAAUUCAAUUUUAUUUUUUGUUGACAAAAAAAAUAUACUUUUUAGAAAGAUAAAAAACACCAUUUAUUAAAAAAUCAUUAUUGAAUUUUGUGAGGGUGAUAUAAAUUAGGGAUUGAGUGUAGAUUCUUCCUGCAUCUCCAUGCCUUUCUUCUUGCAUCCCAUUAUACAAAAAAUACUCAAAUUAUGCUUUGGCAUUUUUCUUUAAUUCCGAAAUGUGACAUUUAAUUUGGAAGUUAAAAUUUGUUUUGGGAUUGUACAUUAUUUCAGAUUGUACAAUCCAAAAUACAAAUUUGUAUACUAGAUUAUUGAAUUUGAAAUAAAUAAUUUUACAACUUUUGAGAAUAAGAGGUUGCUAGAAGAAAUAAAUAAGAUGAAGAAAUUAAAUAAAUUUAUGAAUUAAAAUUAGUUUAUAUAUGAAUUAAAAAUAAUAUUUUAUGUAAAUUGAUUUUAAUAUAUGAUUUUUUUUUUGUUUUAUAGAAGAACUUGUGAAUAAAACCAUAUUCUUAAUUUGUUUAAUUUGCAGACACUGAUUGCAGGAGGAACUGACACAAGUAGUGUUGUUCUUGUGUGGGCAAUGUGUUUGAUUUUGGGAAAUCCUUUGGUAUUGGAAAAAGUGCAAGCCGAACUAGACAUUCAUAUUGGAAAAGAGAAAUGCGUAAGUGAGUCUGAUAUGAGUAAGUUAACAUAUCUUCAAGCCAUAGUCAAAGAAACUUUAAGAUUAUAUCCUCCGGGUCCUCUUGCGACACCUCGUGAAUUCACAGAGAAUUGCACUUUAGGUGGUUAUAAUAUAAAAAAAGGAACUCGACUAAUCACAAAUCUUUGGAAGAUUCACACAGACAAGAAUGUUUGGGAAGAUCCAUUGGAGUUCAAACCUGAAAGGUUUCUUACAACUUACAAAGAUCUCGAUGUUAAAGGUCAUCAUUUUGAGCUAAUACCAUUUGGAGGUGGUAGAAGAAUGUGUCCAGGAAUAUCCUUUGGCCUUGAAGUAGUGCAAUUCUCUCUUGCUAGUAUUUUGCACUCUUUUGAAUUUUUAAGUUCAUCACCUGAUCCUAUUGACAUGACCGAAAACUUUGGAUUAGCCAACACCAAAGCCACUCCACUUGAGAUUCUUAUUAAACCACACCUAUCUUUUAGUUGUUAUGAAAACAACUAAUCCAUGUGCUAGUUAUGCGGUCACAAUUUAUUUUCAUUCAAAGUAUCGUUCAAAGUCUUUGCUAUCUUUGUAUUUUUGUUCAAAGUGCUUGAUAUAUUUUAAUUUUCCUUUAAUGUACUUGAUAGAUUUAUAGCUUAUCUUUGUAAACUUUGAAACUCUUUCAAAUAUAUCAUUAAUAAAAAGAAUAAUUACACCGCAUAUUCUCACUACUUUAUUCCUUCUUUAUCGAUAUUUUCUUUAUAUUUUUCAAGUCCCUCUUAUGGAAAUAAAUCUUUGUAAAUUUUUUUCCUCUAUACAUCCUUCCAACUAGUAAGGCUCUGAUUUGGAUGUGAUUUGAAUCAUUCUUUAGCUUUUCCUGUCAAUGAGAAAGGAAAUAAACGUAGAUAAACAGUUUCAAUAUCACCUGAUUGAAAGUCUAUUGUUCCUACCAAUUCAUAAAAUGUAGACAAAUGUGUAUAUGGAUCCUCAUGGUCCAUUGUUGUAAAUUGAUGGGUACUUAUCAGACUGAGGAAUGCAGGUUUCAUCUCCAAGGCGUUGGUGGUAGAAGGUAUUGCAAUACUAGAGAAAUGAUGGCCUCUGGUGCAUAGCAUAAUCUCCAAGUGUUCUCUUGGGUUGUUGAUGACUUUUUACGGCAAGUGCACUGUGUUUGUCAGAAGUAAUAAUUGUCCCUAAGAACGAAUAUCAAUCCACAAGGAACAAUGAAGUGAAUUAUUGAGUACAAAAUUCGCUAAAUAUAACAACAGAACAAUAAAAAGAGUUUUGAAGUGAUUGUGUUGACACCGAUCAAUAAUAAAAUAAACAAAGAAUUAGUUGCUUGAAUUGAAAAAAUAGGGAUUAGGUUUCAUUUUUCUCACUCUCAUGUAUUUUGAUUAGGAUGUUAAUAUUAAGUUCUUUGAUUGAAAUUGAUGGCCAUAAAAAAUUCAUUUUUAUCGAUCCCUCGCAUAUAAAAUCCUUAAAAAUGUUUCCUAAAUAUCGAUCCCUUGCAUAUUUAUAAAAACAACUUAGAAUCCCAUUGAGACGUUAAUGUCAAUUAACAUUUCAAGUUUAUCCUUAACACUCAAAUAUGUUAAGUAUUGUUGUUCAGGUUUGAACCCUAAAAAUACCUCUCGGUUAGAUUUAAGACUAUCAAUUUGUCACGGAAAGUUAAAAGUAAAACAACAAUACCAAUAAUCAAUCAAGAACUUAAUAUUAAUAUAUAAGAUAUCACCUCAAUAUAUAAGAGUUUGAGCAUAUUACUCCAAAUCCAAAAUGGUAAAAUUAGCCACGCAUACUUCUAGCACCUUCCAUUCUCCUAAUUGGGUUACAAUUCACUCUAUGGUGUUUUCCUCUCAAUCUGACACAGUAGGAUUGAGCCUCUAGCCCCCUAUUUAUCCUAAUUUUCUAGGGUUAGGUCGCUUCUUAUGUCGUGCUAAUGGGCUAAGUGAUAAAACAUAAAAAAAACCCCAAUCUUUCUGACGUAUUCUCGCUCAAGCGAGAUACUCUUGUGGCGAAAUAGUCUUUUUCUGCAUCUCUUUGCAUUCUAGGACCUACCUUCUAGCUUUAUCUUUUUAGCUCAAAUUAUUCUCCUUUACUCCAAAUCUUCAAUCCUCCCUAAAAAUAUGCAAUUAACACCAAAUUUGGGAAUAAAAUUCUCUUAUUCAAAUAAAGAUCAUACAAAAUGUAUAAAUUCAUAAAUUAGAGAUUAUUCUAUAUGUAAAUUAGCAAUAAAUCCUCCUAAGUGCCUAAAUUUUAAUAUGAAAUAUUACUGAAAUUAGACACUUAUGAGUUGUGGUGGUGGUUUUUUUUGGCUAUAAUGCUUUCUUCUUGAAAAAUAUUAAUGGGAAGGAAAAAAAUGGUUAAGGAUUCUUCUAUAGUCUCUUUGUUUUUCUGUUCUCUUUCUCUCGUUGUUUCUUGUAGCUGCCUUUUCAAUCUCUAAUUUAAACAAUUGAGGAUUCUUCUAGCAGAAACAAUUUAAGCCAUAACAGUUCUUGGAGUUAAUCUUUAAAAGGUUUAAUUUGUAUUUUUUAGAAGUUCACAGUGUAUAAAAAAAUAAUUUUCUUUAAAAAUUAGAUUCAAAUUGGUUCUACAACAAUGUGCUUUGAUAAAAGACUUUACUUUUAAAUUGUAAAGCAAGAUUCAAAUCAGCUUUCAAUAACCGUCUAUUUAAACAAUAAAACACUUUAAAUCACAUUUUAAAAUCAAAUUUGAUAUGAUGAUGUUUAAAACCAGUUCCAAAACGAGAUUUCUUAUUGAUGGUUUGUUUUUAAGUAUGAACUUGUCAUCAAAGACACCAUCCAGUUUUUAAGUUUGAUUAAUUUCUUUAGUUGUUAGAAGUAAUGAAUACGAGAGAAGAAUAACACACAAUGAUUUAUACUAAUAUGAGAGAAGUAGUGUAUAUACUCUUACUUACGAUAAAGAAUUAUAAAAAUUAAAAGAAGUAAAACUUGACGAAAUUUGUACUUCCAUCAUUAUUUUUUCCUUUAUCACUUAUUUCUAUACUCUUUCUUUAACAACAUUGUAAUAUAGCGAUUUUUUAUAACAAAAUAUGAAAUAAUUUUAAAACGUGUGAAGAAAACGGUAUGGAUGAAUGGAUACGUUAUAUUGAUAAAUAAAUAAACCACAUGCGUUGGUUUUAAUCAAGACAAUAACUUGACAUAUACAUACGUAUCUCCAAAAUUUUAUUUACCCAAUUCUUACCAAAAAUAUUUUAAAAUAAUUAAUUUGUCGUCGUAUAAAUUCUCACUUCUAAUUGAAAAAUGUAUGAGCAUAUUUAUUUUCCAAUUUGUAACAAAAUUUACGAAUUUAUAUAUAAUUUUACAAUAAUUAUUUUUUAGUUUAUUAACAUGGCAUAAAAUUAAAGUUUUCGUUUUCUUUUAUUGACAUGUUGGUCGAAUAAGAGGUUUUUUUUAUUUUAUUUUAAUUUCUUUAAUUAUUUAAUUACCUAAAUUAUUUCAAUCAACACAACAAGUAAGAUAGGACGUUUAUAAAUAAUUAUCAGAAUAAUAUUUCAUUAAGUAAACUAAUUCUUAAUAUUUUAGAACAGUUACCAACAAGUAUCCACAGUUAAAAAAUAAAAAUAAAAAUAUAAAUUUAAUAUAUUAUAAAAAAAUAGAUUUGAAUAUUACACUUAUCAAAAUUACUUUCUAUUUUAGUUUCUAAUUUUUUUUAUAGACUCUUGAAUUAAAAAAUUAAAAAUAUUUUUUAUUCAUCCCAAUCUAAAAGUGAUAGUUUAGUCUUUUGAAAUUUAAAUACUAUUUUGAGUUAUCUAAUUUAUUAAUAAUUGACAAAUUCGUUAAUAAUUAUAGAUUCAAUUGAAAAAAAUAAAGAAUAAAAAAAACAAAGCAUCAAUGACAUAAACUCAUAAUAAUGAAUCCAGACACUGAAUUACAAAACAUUAUUUUAUUUAUAUGAAUUCGAUUGCACUUUCUUUAUAAUGAUAUUUCUUUUGAGUUUUAAUUAUCUAGAAAUUUUCCAAACAAUUAUAUGUGACAAAGCAUGAACAUGAAAUCAAUAACAGUAUAUAUGAAGUUGAAUGUGUAACGAUGUGACCAUUUUACACUAUCAAUCUAUUCCAUGUUUUUCCAUUACAAUUUGAUUUGUGUGCUUAAAGUGAUCAAUCAUGGAUGCAAAUAAUGAUGAAAUAGAAAUUAAUAUGCUCAUAAAAAAAUAAAGGCAACGUUGGUGUACCUAACAUGGUGGUGACGAACUACAUCAACUACAUUAGAACAGUUCUUUUAUGGGUGGUGUGUGUGCUGCCUUAUGUGAAUAAGGAAAAUUUUACGUAUAUAUUGUGGAGGUAGGAAAAGUUUUAUCUACCCCACGGGACGCCAAAUGUUCUAGCCAAGAGGGAUGUCUCCCUACUAAAGCGUACAAUUAAGCCAGAAACAAUGGUUUCUAGCCCUAAAGUGUUUGUCAGGUCAUCUUCUUUCCCUUAUAUAAGUUAGUGCUCUCCUCCCUUUUUGUAUCCCUUCUUGUUUUGAGUUAUAUUUUCAAAUUGAUUACAAUCACAUAUAUACGGUCGAUCUCCAUAAUCAACGCACUCUCCUCUUUAUGAAAAAUAAAUAAGAUCUUUUUCAUUAAUUUCAGAGAUAGACUAUUUCACCACAUCAUCGGUCUGAUAAGUUCAUAACCAUUAUUUACAUAGAUCGACACAAAAACCAUUUCACCAUGUGAUAACACUCGAUCCAUGAUCUCACAAUACCAAAUUAAAAGAAUUCUUAAUUUUUUUUGAAAAUAAAGCUAUUUUGAAAUUGUUGUUAAAUUAUUUCAUCUUAAUAUUUAGGUCUUAUUUUCAAAAUUUGAAUUCCAACACGAUUUAUCUAUUAAUAUAACGUGUCUUAAUUUUAAUUAUAUCUCUCUAUACUUUUUUAGUAAGUUUUAAAAGUCUUGUCAUGAUUUGUGCGUGUUAUCUUUACUCGGGGACUCUUUGUAUCUUUCCAAUGUUCUCAUAUGUCCCACAAGAGACAAAGUCUCUUUUCAAUUAUUUUAGCAAUAAUAGAAAACUUACUUAUUUUAAAAUACUAUUCAGUAUUAUUAGAGCAUUCUUAUUGGGGUAAGUCAGGUACUACUUUAAUGUUUAUGUACUGUUUGAAUAAAUGUCCCAUUGAAAAAUGUGAGCAUUUUUGUCCCAUUCUUAACUUUAUUGUUUGGUAGAAAUUUUUCGUCCGGAAGAGUAAUUAAGUGGUGCAGUUUCUACCUAACUCUCCGGCCACCUGUUUAAUGCUAAUACGUCGUCAUUCGUGCUCAUAUGUUGAUGCGAAAAGAUUUAUUUCACAUUAAAAACAUAUAUUUAACAUCACAUUAUUAUAAUAAUAUAAUCAGGUUUAAAAUUAAAAAAUAAAUUAAAUAUAUGUUUAAUAUGUCUCAGUUUUUUUUUUCAGAAAAUGUUUUUUAUGAAUGAUUUAAAAUGUUUUUUUUCUUAUUUUUAUAAUUAUAAUAUAAUCUUUUAGAAUAAAAAUUUAAUUUUUAAAAAAUUAAUAUGUUUUUUCUUUUAAAAAUUUUGUUAGAAUUCUAAUAAAAUUGUCAAAAAUUUUAAAAAUAUAUUUAAGAGACGUAUUUAACUUAGUUUGAUAAGUAAGAGAUUUGUGAAAGGUAUUAAUUAAAAGAGUGGUGAUAUAUUAACACUUUUAAUGAUAAAAACACAUUUUUUUUUAAAUAAAAGUUUUCAUGUUAGACAUCAUUAUGCAGUUUUUACACUUUUUAUACUAUAAUAAAUUAAUAUUUUAUUUAUUUUUAUUUUAUUUUUUAAUUUAAAAAUAUUAUUAUAAACAAUGUAAAUGUAUGUUUUUUUAUUCACUAUAAUAAAAUCAUGAAAUAGAAACCAAUUUGUAGAAAUCAAAAUAAUUAGUUGCAAUAGUAACUAAAAAGAAAUUUGGUUUCUAAAUUAGUUUCUAUUAUUGUUAAAUAGUUUCUAAAUUGGUAUCUAAUUAGCAACUAAGGUUUUUCUACCAAAUUUAGAAACUAAAUAAUUGGUAGUUAAAAUCUUAAUUGCUAAUUAAAUAUCAAUUUAAAAACUAUUUAAUAAUAAUAUAAAUUAAUUUGAAAAACUAAUUUUGUUUACUUUCUAAAUAUUUAAUGAUUUUCUGUCUGAACAAAACUUUUCUCUAAUUAAGAAGGAGUGAUACUUUAUAAUUUGUGUUUUAUAAAUAAUUACUUUACAAUUUUGCUAUAGUGAUAUAAUAUUUAAAGUUAUCUAAUUAAUUUAUACUUUUUACAUUUAUUAUAUUAUUAUAGUUGUAAAGUAUUAUAAAAUUAUCUUUAUGUUGAGUAAAAAAUAGAUGAUUUGAUAAGUAAUUAGAGAGAUCUUUAUAAAAGUGGAGUGAUUUUUGUCUAUUAUCACUAUGAAGUUUGUUAUUGACACGAUUUUUCCAAAUUUAGAAAAUAACUAUAUUUUAAUUAUGAGUGGCGGCAAAUAUUAACUCAUCUUUUCAAGAGAGAAAUGAUAUUUUAACUAUAAAAAAUGAUUUGAUUUGAUUGAUUUAAAUAUAAAUAUAUAUUAUAAUAAGAUUGUAUAAAAUAGUAGGGUUGUUAGAAACCUAAGAACAGUGUCAGAGAGUGACUCACAAGUUAGAGAUAUUAAAAUCCAAUUUGUGUAGCCUCAAGCAUGCAUCGCAUACACAAUCUUCUCUCUUGGGUAAAAUGGAUCUAAAUGUUUCUGCAAUUGGACUUGUUUCUCUACUUCUCUUCUGUUUCUUUUUCUUUGGUCUCUUCAAAUUUUCUCAAGGAAAAGAAGCUCCCACAGUUGCAGGUGCAUGGCCAAUACUUGGCCACCUUCCAUUGUUGAGUGCUUCAAAGAGACCCCAUAGAACUUUGGGUGCUUUGGCUGACAAAUAUGGACCCAUUUUCACCAUCAAACUUGGUGCCAAAAGCGCUUUGGUAAUCAACAACUGGGAAACGGCAAAGGAAUGUUUUACCACAAACGACAUAGUCGUUUCCUCUCGCCCCAAGCUUGUUGCUGCUGAACACAUGAGCUACAACCAAGCCAUGUUUGUGGUAGCACCCUAUGGUCCCUAUUGGCGAAAAAUAAGAAAGAUUACAGUUUCAGAGAUUCUCUCCCCUCUGCGAGUGAAGCAGCUGCGUCAUGUUUUUGAGUCAGAAGUUGAAGGUUCGAUCAAGGAGCUCUUUGACUUUUGGCGUAGCAACAAGAAUGAGAGCGGCUAUGCCUUGGUGGAGUUGAAGCAAUGGUUUUCUCAUCUGAUAUUCAACAUGGUCCUUCAAAUGAUUACAGGGAAGCGAUAUUUCAGUGCAGCAACUGUGGAUGAUGAGAAGGCACGGAGAUUUGUGAGGGCUAUGGAGGAGUUCAUGCGUCUGUUCGGGUUGUUCACAGUGGGAGAUGCUGUUCCAUGGUUGAGAUGGUUUGAUUUUGGAGGGCAUGAGAAGGCAAUGAAAGAAACUGCGAAAGAGUUGGAUAGUAUUAUAGGUGAGGAGUUAGAGGAACAUAGAAAAAGGAAGGGUUUGGGUGAGAAGGUUGAUGAAGCUAAAGAUUUCAUGGAUAUCAUGAUUUCAUUGUUUGAUGGAAGAACUAUUGAUGGGGUCGAUGCAGAUACCGUAAUCAAAUCCACCCUUCUGGUAUGUAUAUUCAUUACACACACAUUAUAAUCUUUUCAAAUUUCAACAAAAUUCAACAUACAUAUAAAACGAAUUAAUAUAUAUAUAUAUAUAUAUUUAUAUUGGUGUAUGUAAAUUUUUUCUUAAGAGAUAUUUAAAAAAAAAAAUAGUUUCUAUUAUUAAUAAAUAAUUUCUAAAUUGGUAUCUAAUGUUUUAAUUAUCAAUUAUUUAGAUUUUAAAUUUUGUAGAAAUAAUCUUGGUAGCUAAUUAGAUACCAAAAUAGAAACUAAUAACUUUUUUAGUCUCUAAACUAGUAUUUAAUUUACUCAAUAUAACACCUAGUUAUAUUUGGUAUCUAAAAUUGGUUUCUAUUUAAUGAUUUUCUUGUAGUGAUGGUUGUAUAGUUUAAUAUAUACCAUGAUUGUAAAGUCUAUCUAAAGAACGAGAAUGCCGGUUAGCCUAUCCUAUAUAGGUCUGUUCCAUAUAGAAAAUGAAUGUUGAUUUUAUUGGUUUGUCUUUAAUGCUGAUUGCUUCCCAAAUGUGCACAUAAGAAAUAUAUAUUUUAAAUUAUAAAAAAUAAAUUUUGAAUAUUUUUUUUAUUAAGUUAAUCUUUUAUUUAUUUAAAUGAAUUAGAUAAAUUGUCUCACAAUAUUAUUCUCAUGAUAAUGCCUAAUAAGAUAUAGGUAAAAAAUAAUAUUAUAAUUAUGUUUUGAUUUUCUAUAAAAUUAGAAUUUUAAGGCAAAUACAUUAUUACUAUUCUAAUUUGAAAAGUAAUAUAAAAUAAUAUAUAUAUAUAUAUAUAAUACAAUUUUUAAAUUUUAUUAUAAAAAAAGAGUAAGGUAUGCUAAUGCAUUUGACAUAUGAUGAUAUGCAUUUCAGAAAGACAAAAAAACACCAUUAAAUAUUAAAAAAUCAUUAUUGAAUUUUGUGAAGGUGCUAUGAAUUAGGGAUCCACUGUAGUUUCUUCAUGCACCACCUCCAUGUCUUUCUUCUUGCAUCCCAUAGUUCAUAAAAUAUUCAAAUUAUCCUUUGAUAUUUUUCAUUGAAUGUUUUUCUUUAAUUCUGAAAUGUGGCAUUUCAUCUAGAAGUUAAAAUUUGUGUUUGGGAUUGUACAUUAUUUCAGAUUGCACAAUCCAAAAUACAAAUUUGUAUACCAGAUUAUAGAAUUUGAAAUGAAUAAUUUUAGAAAUUUUGAGAAUAAGUGGCUGCAAAAAAAAUCAUGGGGGUAUAUAUAAAAAAAACUAAUUCUUAAAAAAUGUGGGUUAUACGGGUCAACGUGCCUUAUCCCACACUUUGCCGGUAUGUGCUACGGGUUAUGCGAGGCGGGUCAACAAGUUGAAAUAGCCAGUCUACCCUGUAUUUCUUUUAGCGGGCCAAGGACUGGUCUACACGACCCACUCCGUUUUGCCAUCCAUAAUUUAAGUAACUAGUUACUAAAUAUAAAGUAUUAUAAUUAUGUGAAAUAUAUAUAAUAAAUAAUUUAUUUACGUAAAUUACACUAUAGUAAUUUUAAAUUUGAUUAGAGUAAACACUUGUAAAAUAUUCUUCUAUCAUGUCUAUUGGCAAUUUUUUCAAGUAAAUGUAUCCACAAACACUUACAAAAGAAAUAAAUAAGAAGAAGAAAUUAAAUAAAUUUUUUACAAACUAAAAUUAGUAUAUAUGAAUUAAAAAAAUAUUUUACAUAGAUUUAUUUUAAUAUAUGAUUUGUUUCCCUUAUAGAAGAACUUGUGAAUGACCAUAUUCUUAAUUUUCUUAAUUUGCAGGCAGUGAUUGCAGGAGGAACUGACACAAGUAAUAUUGUUCUUACGUGGGAAAUAUCUUUGAUUUUGAGGAAUCCUUUGGUAUUGGAAAAAGUAAAAGUGGAACUAGACAUUCAUAUUGGAAAAGAGAAAUGCGUAAGUGAGUUUGAUAUAAGUAAGUUAACAUAUCUUCAAGCCAUAGUCAAGGAAACUUUAAGAUUGUAUCCUCCUGCUCCUCUUUCGACGCCUCGUGAAUUCAUAGAGGACUGCACUUUAAGUGGUUAUAAUAUAAAAAAAGGAACUCGUCUAAUCACAAAUCUUUGGAAGAUUCACACAGAUAGUAAUGUUUGGGAAGAUUCAUUGGAGUUCAAACCAGAAAGAUUUCUUACAACUCAUAAAGAUAUUGACGUCAAAGGUCAUCAUUUUGAGUUAUUACCAUUUGGAGGUGGCAGAAGAAUGUGUCCAGGAAUAUCCUUUGGCAUUGAAGUAGUGCAUUUCUCUCUUGCUAGUUUUUUGCAUUCUUUUGAAAUUUUAAGCUCAUCACCUAAUCCUAUUGACAUGACUGAAAACUUUGGAUUAACCAACACCAAAGCCACUCCACUUGAGAUUCUUAUUAAACCACGUCUAUCUUUUAGUUGUUAUGAAAACAACUAAUCCAUGUGUUAGUUAUGCAGUCACAGUUUGUUUUCAUUCAAAGUACUUUUUUUCUAUAAUAUCGUUAAAGUCUUUGCUAUCUUUGUAUUUUCAUUCAAAGUGCUUGAUAUAUUUGCACUUUCGUUCAAUGUACUUGAUAUAUUUAUAGUUUAUCUUUGUAAACUUUGAAACUCUUUCAAAUAUAUCAUUAAUGAAAAGUAUAAUUACAUUGUAUAUUCUCGCUACAUUUACUCUUUUAUACUUAUUCCUUCUUUAUUGAUAUUUUCUUUAUAUUUUCCAAGUCCCUCUUAGUGAAUUCUCAGUGGUUAGCUGAGGACUGAGUGUAGCUCUAGGUUAAGAGUGAAUCAAUAUAAACUUCUUGUGUGAAUCUCUCUAUCCUUACACCCUUUAAACUGUUUUAGCUUUGAUUUUAUAACCUAAUGGUUAAACAACCGGUUGUUUCGCAAAAACAAAUGGUUGAUUUUCUGGAAUCAAACUAAAAACAGUUUUAUAAUUAGAUGAACAAUUUUCUAAUUGAUUGAUUCUUCACUAUGUCUUUCACUCUACCUUCAAUACUAGCGAAAAUCUUUCAAAAACAAUUCACCCCCCUCUUAUUUAAGGCUUAUAAUUCUAACAUCGUCUUCCCAUUAAUGUUAAGAAGUGUACCAAUUAAACUAUCACACACAUUCUUCUUUGCAUUAAAUCAAUACAAUGUCUGAAUUCUAACUUCGACCAAUAUGAAAGAUCAAAGAAGAUUGAUUUUUUCUUCCAUAUGUUUGUCACAAAUGACUUCUUUCUUGACUUCUGAAGGUGUGUCCUAUGUUAUUUACCUUUUCAUAAACCUCAACACUAGUUAAUGGAGUUGGUAGACUGACAGUCUUUUGAUGUCCAUUAAAGACUUUUUUCAACCUCCGGUAAGGAUGGUGACUUCUAAGAAACCUCCACUGCCAAAGAUAUACUAUCUUCCUUUCAUGUUUCAAUUGCUGAAAAGCAGUGUCUUCUUCACAUAUUGGACAUGCUUUUUGACCCUUGACACUACACCCUGAUAAGUUAUUGUAUGCCAAAAAGUUAUUUAUUGUGCAAAAGAACAUGGCAAGCAUCUUGAAAGUUUCAUUAACAAACCAGUCAAAGUGUCAUUAGCAACAUGGCUUACAGUGAAAAUACCGAGGGGUUGUAAAACAUCCUUCAUAGCUUUAAUUCCUACAGUUUCUGACCUAACUAAGUUGCGAUAAUAUAAACUGAUUUCUCUAGUUGGGAUUUUCUAUAAAAUCAUAUCCAAAGUGUUGGCUAACAGAAUUAAGAAAGUCAUGCCUAACAUUAAGAUGAAUCUCAAUCCACAUUCUUGUGGGGGAGAAGGCUUUUGGAUAUCAUUUUAGUGACCAAUGAGGUCGUGGAGGAUAUUAGGAGUCAUGGUAAGAGUGGGGCUAUUGUCAAGGUGGAUUUUGAUAAAACAUAUGACUCGAUGAUGUGACAAUUCAUGUUUUAUAUGAUGAAGAAACUAGGCUUUAGGGAGAAGUGGAUUAGGUGGAUCAAGUGUUGUUUGGUUUCUUCCUCAGUUUCUAUUUUAGUUAAUGGUAGCCCAACUUCUGAGUUCAACCCAUCUAGAGGGUUAAGGCAAGGGGACCCCUUGGUCCCUUUCCAACUCCUUAUCGUUGUCACUACUAGAAAAUCAUUAAAUAUAAACUAAUUUUAGAGAAAAAAAUAAUUAGUUAUUAUAUUGACUAAAUUAGAUAUUAUUUUAGAGACUAAAAAAAAUAUUGGUAUCACUAUGAAACUUGACAUCUAAGUUAGGAUGACACCUCAAGUAACAACAAUCAUCAUCCACCACAUGAAAAAAAUAUCAUUAAAAAAAGGAAAAAAGAAAGAAAGAAAGGAAAUACAAGCCAUAUGAGGAGACUAGACCAAAACCCAUAUACAAAAAUCCUAAGAAAAGUGAUACUUAGGUAAUAUAUCCCUACUAAUAAAGAAUUCUAAGAAAAAACUAGAUGGAAGCCUAUUAACCAAUUAAAUUAUUCUAUAUGAAUAAACCCUAAGUUAGCAAGCUUAUCAGCACAUUCCUUUCCUUAAAAAAAAAAAAAGUGAGAAAUCCCACAUCUGAUUUUCCCAUAGAAAUGAAGGCAAGUGUUCCACCUAUUAUGAAGAAUCCAAGGAACCUUAGUCAUAGUAGUAAAUGCAGCACAAACCAAGGUAGAAUCACAUUCAAGUCAUAAACUAGUAAGACCCAUCUUUUUAGUUUCAUAAAAGGCCUAUAUAACUCCCUAAAACUCAACAACCAAAGUAAUCUAAAAAUCAAGGAAAGCAGAGAAACCACCAAUAAAAUACCACCACAAGCGGCAAAACCAGGAUAACCCCUAGUAACACUAUCAUUAUUAAUUUUAACCCAACCUAGUGAAGGAAACUCUCAUCUAAUAGGAGGAGGAUGAAGAACUUUAUCAUUACGAGUACUAAUAUCAAAGAACUUAAGCACAUUGAAAUCAAACAUAUCAUUCCUUAUAGAACUUUUAGACGAAUUACACAUUAGGUAAGUAAAAUCCUUAAUGGUGGAAAUGGUCCUGAAAAGAUCAAUCUUAACCUGAAAUCUAACAUAAUUUCUCAUACGUCAUAUUAUCCUAGAGAAGGUAAUCACAACAAGUUUAAUCAAAUUAAACAAAUGACUACCAUCGCUCUUAAUAAAAUAAAGGAGAUCACUCACAUUAGAAAAAUGGAAUUAAGAAUAGUCUUUUAAGAUACCUAUAUUUGUUAUAAUUAAAUAUCCAAUUAUUAUUUCUAAAAUUAAAUUAAUUUUAUUACUAAAAAUUAAAUUUUAAAAAUGCAUAUUUGACUUGUAUUUAAAUUUAUUUUUUAUUUUUAAAGUGGACUAAAAUCUUUAGCUCUACCUAGGAGUAGAUCAAACAAAAAAAAUAUAUAAUUUUGAUUAGAAAAAAAUGAAAGUGACCUAAACUGGAUCUUUCAUAAGUAUUCCAUAUAAAUAAACUGAUCUGAUCGACCAACCCAGAAUUAAAAUCCAAUGUCGAUCAUGGAAUGAACCAGAAACACUUUCUAACUCACCCUACUUUUUCCAUCUGUUUUUAGGUUGAAGAUAAACGUGUUGCACUUGAUGAUCUAUAUACUGUCAUCUUCAGCACCUACCCAAUUAAUAAUUUCUACUUCCAACAAAUUUACUGGUUCACAUUUGUCGCUAUUGUUGUAUACAAAUUAUUAUAUGCUUAUUAGUCUGACAUUUUUCUUUUCUAAAUUUGCAAUUAAUAUUACUAUAAGAACAGAAGAAAUUUCACCACAGUGUCAAAUAUAUUUAUCAAUACCAGUUCAAAUAACAUCAGUAAACUUACCUAUGUUAGUACAAUUCCUAUAUAUAUAUAUGCACACUGGCUAAUGAACAAAAUGUGUAUCUUAAUGGAGUUCGUUUUGGAUUACCUUAAUGGCAGUGCCAUUGGUCUUCUUUCUCUAAUCCUCUUGUAUAUGUUUCUCUAUAAUCCCUUCAAAUUUUGUAAGGGAAAGAAGAAAGAGGCUCCCACAGUUGCAGGAGCAUGGCCAAUACUUGGUCACCUUCCACUGUUGAGUGGUUCAAAGACACCCCAUAGAACUUUGGGUGCUUUGGCUGACAAAUAUGGACCCAUUUUCACCAUCCAACUUGGUUCCAAAAAGGCUUUGAUAAUCAACAACUGGGAAAUAGCAAAGGAAUGCUUCACCACAAUCGACAUGGUUGUUUCUUCUCGCCCCAAGAUUCUCGCCUCUGAACUCAUGGGCUACAACCAUGCCAUGUUUGGCUUUGCACCCUAUGGUCCCUAUUGGCGCGAGCUUCGAAAGAUUACAACGUUAGAAAUCCUUUCCCCUCGUCCAGUGGAACAACUGCAGCAUGUUCGUGUCUCAGAACUUCAAAACUGGAUCAAAGAGUUGUAUGAUGUUUGGUGUAGCCAAAAGAGUGAGUCUGGCUAUGCCUUGGUGGAGCUGAAGCAAUGGUUUUCUCACCUCGCAUUCAACAUGGUUCUUCGAAUGGUCGUUGGGAAGAGACACUUUGGUGGUGAAAACUUAGAAGAUGAGAAAGCACAGAGAUAUGUGAGGGCUGUGGAGGAGUUCAUGCGCCUGUUCGGAGUGUUCACAGUGGGAGAUGCUGUUCCAUGGUUGAGAUGGUUUGAUUUUGGAGGGCAUGAGAAGGCAAUGAAAGAAACUGCGAAAGAGUUGGAUAGUAUUAUAGGUGAGGAGUUAGAGGAACAUAGAAAAAGGAAGGGUUUGGGUGAGAAGGUUGAUGAAGCUCAAGAUUUCAUGGAUGUAAUGAUUUCAUUGUUUGAUGGAACAACUAUUGAAGGGAUCGAUGCAGAUACCAUGAUCAAAUCCACCCUACUGGUAUGAAUGUUUAAUUUACACGUUAUAAUACUUUCUGAAAUGUGAAAUUUUAAGAAAAUUAAACUUAUAAUAAGAAAAAUAUACAUUGACAUUAUAGAACUCAUGAAGUAUUCCGUAGAAAAUAAGUAAAAUUAAAUAUCUUUUCUUGUAAAUUAAAAUUAAGUAUAACCUAAGUUAUUUUUAGUAAUAAGUUUUUCAAAUAUAAUCUUAAUUCAUUACAUGAAAAAUAUUAAAUAAAAACUAAUUUUAAAUACCAAAAUAAUUAGUUAAUAUUUGAUAUAAUUAAAGAUCAUUUUAUAAAUUAAAAAAAAUUAUUGAUAUCUAAAUUAUUUUUUUUUAUUAAUAAAAAAUUAUAAAAUAAUUUUUAAAUUGGUAUCUAACCAUUAACUACCAAGGUUUUAGCUACUUACUACUUUAUAUUCUAAAUUAGUCUCUAUUAGUCUUUUAGAGACUAGUUUAUAAUAUAAAAUAUUAGUAACUAAAACCUAAAUAACUAAUUUAGAUAUCAAUUUAGAAACUAUUUUAUAAAUUUUUAUUAAUAAUAUAAAUUAUCUUAGAUACCAAUAAUUUCUUAGUCUCUAAAUAAAUAUCUAAUUUAGUCAAAAUAGUGACUAAUUAUUUUUUAUCUUUAAAUUGGGUUGCUAUUUAAUGAUUUUUUCUAGUGAUUUUCUUCACUUAAAUAUUUUUGUUGGGUAACUUAUUUGUUUUGUAGGCAGUGAUUGUAGGAGGAAUUGACACAAACAAUACAAUUCUUACAUGGACAAUAUCUUUGAUUUUAAGGAAUCCUUUGGUGUUGGAAAACGUAAAAGAUGAACUAGACACUCAUAUUGGAAAAGAGAAAUGCGUAAAUGAGUAUGAUAUAAGUAAGUUAACAUAUCUUCAAGCCAUAGUCAAAGAAACUUUAAGAUUGUAUCCUCCUACUCCUCUUUUUGGACCUCGUGAAUUCACAGAGAAUUGCACUUUAAGAGGCUAUAAUAUAAAAAAGGGAACCCGACUAAUCCCAAAUCUUUGGAAGAUUCACACAGAUAGUAAUGUUUGGGAAGACCCUUUGGAGUUCAAACCAGAAAGGUUUCUUACAACUCGUAAAGAUAUCGACGUCAAAGGUCAUCAUUUUGAACUAUUACCAUUUGGAGGUGGUAGAAGAAUAUGUCCAGCAGUAUCCUUUGGCCUUCAAAUGGUGCAUUUCACUCUUGCUAGGUUUUUGCAUUCCUUUGAAAUUUUAAGUUCAUCACCUGAUCCUAUUGACAUGUCUGAAAC